AUGAUUGCUUUCGGAGAUGUGCUUGAAGCCUGCAACCUAUCUGAUCUAGGUUUCUCUGGCUACCCAUUCACAUACGAUAAUAAAUGCAGCGGGCGUGCUAACGUGCAAGUGAGACUUGACAGGGCAGUGGCUGAUAAUGCGUGGAGAAGUAAAUUCCCGGAAGCUUCAGUGAAGCACUUGAUUUCUUCAUGUUCAGACCACCUCCCCGUUCUCGUGCGGUGUACGCCUGAAUCGGGCGGCAGGGUGAGGUGUGUACGGCGUUAUGAAGUAAUGUGGGAACGUGAAGCGGCUCUUGAGAAAGUUGUGGCAGAAGCUUGGAGUGAGGGAGGUAAAAAGCAUGGCCUACACGAUGUCAAAGUAUCCUUGGAUAAGGUGAUGGAAAAACUUCAUUCCUGGAGCCGCAAAAAAUUUGGGAACGUAGUUAAGGAAAUUGAGAAAUCUAGGUCCAGAUUAGAGGAACUAAUGAACAUGAACGCAGACCGUAAGGAAAUUCGGAAAGAGUCAGAUCACCUGGACGAAUUAUUGUACAGAGAGGAGAUGCUU
rnacentral:rRNA from 1 species